rnacentral:piRNA from 1 species
UCAUUUUGAGGUCUUGGUCUU